GGGCCUUUAGCUCAGUGGUUAGAGCAGUCGACUCAUAAUCGAUUGGUCGCAGGUUCGAGCCCUGCUGGGCCCACCA
rnacentral:tRNA from 1 species